CUACGGGUGGCUGCAGUGGGGAAUUUUGGACAAUGGGCGAAAGCCUGAUCCAGCCAUUCCGCGUGAGUGAUGAAGGCCUUCGGGUUGUAAAGCUCUUUCGGCCGGGAAGAAAUCGUGCAGGCUAAUAUCCUGCAUGGAUGACGGUACCGGACCAAGAAGCACCGGCUAACUACGUGCCAGCAGCCGCGGUAAUACGUAGGGUGCGAGCGUUAAUCGGAAUUACUGGGCGUAAAGCGUGCGCAGGCGGAGGUUUAAGCCAGAUGUGAAAUCCCCGGGCUUAACCUGGGAAUGGCAUUUGGAACUGGACAUCUAGGGUGUGUCAGAGGGGGGUGGAAUUCCACGUGUAGCAGUGAAAUGCGUAGAGAUGUGGAGGAACACCGAUGGCGAAGGCAGCCCCCUGGGAUAACACUGACGCUCAUGCACGAAAGCGUGGGGAGCAAACAGGAUUAGAUACCCGCGUAGUC
rnacentral:rRNA from 1 species